rnacentral:rRNA from 1 species
UAGCGGAACUCCUACGGGAGGCAGCAGUAGGGAAUCUUCCGCAAUGGACGAAAGUCUGACGGAGCAACGCCGCGUGAGUGAUGAAGGUUUUCGGAUCGUAAAGCUCUGUUGUUAGGGAAGAACAAGUACCGUUCGAAUAGGGCGGUACCUUGACGGUACCUAACCAGAAAGCCACGGCUAACUACGUGCCAGCAGCCGCGGUAAUACGUAGGUGGCAAGCGUUGUCCGGAAUUAUUGGGCGUAGAGGGCUCGCAGGCGGUUUCUUAAGUCUGAUGUGAAAGCCCCCGGCUCAACCGGGGAGGGUCAUUGGAAACUGGGGAACUUGAGUGCAGAAGAGGAGAGUGGAAUUCCACGUGUAGCGGUGAAAUGCGUAGAGAUGUGGAGGAACACCAGUGGCGAAGGCGACUCUCUGGUCUGUAACUGACGCUGAUGUGCGAAAGCGUGGGGAUCAAACAGGAUUAGAAACCCUGGUAGUCCACUUAUG